rnacentral:rRNA from 1 species
UGGCGGACGGGUGAGUAAUGUCUGGGAAACUGCCCGAUGGAGGGGGAUAACUACUGGAACGGUAGCUAAUACCGCAUAACGUCGCAAGACCAAGAGGGGACCGUUCGGGCCUCUUGCCAUCGGAUGUGCCCAGAUGGGAUUAGCUAGUAGGUGGGGUAACGGCUUACCUAGGCGACGAUCCCUAGCUGGUCUGAGAGGAUGAUCAGCCACACUGGGACUGAGACACGGCCCAG